rnacentral:tRNA from 1 species
AAUCUAUGAACUUGUUAAAGUAUAUAUUUUGAAAAUAUAAAAAAGUGUUUAAUCACUAUAGAUUU